GGGAAGCUCUGCAGCGGGUCUUCCCACUCAAGUGGGUACAGUAGUCGAGUCACCGGGUCAAACUGGGAUGGACUUUCCAGUGUUGUCACUGAGUGGAGAUACAGAGGAGACAAGGAUGGGGGGGAUUUUUCAGAACGAGAGAAGGGCAGCCAUGUCAUCAGCAGUGUCUUUAAUCACCAACUACUCACAACUAGAACAGUAGAGAUAAAGAGAGCUGCUGAAGAGGCAGGUGACAUGAAGACAGGCACCGGGGUGAGAGGCUGCGGAGACAGUUCUGAACUAUAGACAUCAGAAGCUGGAUGGACUUUUUGAGGAGAUUAUAUCCAACCUCGGUUCUUAAGACUGCCCCUGCUGUGAGCAGGAUGGCCAACCGAGUGAGUCAGGAUCAGGGAUCCUCCAGAUUUCCAGACAAACCUGAACCACUGACCAGGCGACGGUCACGACCUUUGACCCGCAGCAAACCCCUGACUCGCUCAUCUCUCUCAUCCCCCACACAUCUCCAAGCUCGACGGGCCAGGGUGAGCCAGACUCUGUGUGUGUGUGUGUCAGUAUGCUGUAGUUCAUGCACUAACACUGAG
rnacentral:lncRNA from 1 species